AUCUGUUGUUAAUGAGUAUACCAUGUAUAAAGAUAUAAUCUAUGACAAUAACAACAUAAAAAAUGAAGGAUGGAGAGUUACCAGCCUGGAGUUGGGCAGCCCCACUGGGUGGCUAGACCCAGAAGAACAAUAGCAAUCAACUUAUCCUGGCUCUCAGGAAUUCCUACUCCUAAGGGAAGGAGGAGAACAUCACACCAAGGGAAGAUUAUUAAGCUACUCAAGGAGACACCAUAGAAAGGUGAAAACCAACAUAAAAAAAAAACUUAAAAAACAAUUCAGAAUAUGAAGGAAAAAUUUUCUACAUAGAUAUCAUAAAGAAAAAACAAUCAGAAUUUCCGGAAAUGAAACACACUUAGGGAAAUACAAAAUGCAAUGGAAAGUUUCAACAAUAGACCAGAACAAGUAAAAGAAUGAAUUUCAGAGCUCCAAGACAAGGCUUUCAAAUUAACCCAAUCAGACAAAAAUAAAGAAAAAAGAAUCAACAGAAAUAAAUAGGCUGGGGUCAGUGUCUCAUGCCUAUAAUCCUAGCACUUUGGGAGGGCAAGGCAGGUGGACUGCUUGAGCCCAGACUUUGAGACCAGCCUGAGCAACAUAGCAAAUUUCCAUCUCUACAAAAAAACAUAAAAAUUAGCCGGGAGUGGUGGCAUGUGCCUGUAGUCCCAGCUACUCAGGAGGCAGAGGUGUGAGGAUUGCUUGAGCCCAGGAGACAAAGGUCACAACACUGUACUACAGCCUGGGCAACAGAGUAAGACCCUAUCUCAAGAAAGAAAAAAAAAAAAAGAAAGAAGAAAUGAACAAAGCUUCCAAGAAAUACGGGAUUAUGUAAAACAACCAAACCUAAAAAUACUUGGUGGUCCUGAGGGAGAAGAGAAGGCUAAAAGUUUAGAAAACUUAUUUGAGAGAAUCACUGAGGAAAACUUCCCUGGCCUUGCCUGAGAUUUCAAUAUCCAAAUGCAAGAAGCUCAAAGAACUCCAGGGAAAUUCAUUGCAAAAAGAUUAUCACCAAGGCACAUAGUCAUCGGGCUAUCUAAAGUCAACAUGAAGGAAAGAAUCCUAAGAGCUGUGAGACAAAAGCAUCAGGUAACCUAUAAAGGAAAACCAAUCAGACUAACAGAGAU
rnacentral:lncRNA from 1 species